UGAAUUAAAUUCAAACAGCAGAUCAUGUUGUUUUCAAGAUAAUACUUCUUACCUGCACUGUUUACUACUAUAAUUGAGUUAAUUUUAUCAUAUACGCAUAUCAUGACCUUUGAUUUUCUUUUUUUCACAGACGUAACCACAGCUGCUAUGGACACUUUGCAUGAGCUCAUCCCUUUUGCUAAGGAAAUGCUGAGUGCUGGUCCCUCCAAGGGCUCUCUGAAGGUCUAUCUAGUGGGCGGCACGUUCGCUGUCCUGGGAAUGGUGAGCGGCGUGGUCCAGGUGGCCUCUUCUCUCUUCCCUGACCACGAGGAGCCUGACUUUGAGAUGCUGAAGGUGCGGGAGCUCAUACCAGUGAAGGAGCAGCUCCAGGAGCCACAAACCAGCAUCCCUGAAGAUGAUGAGAUGGAUGCAGCGAUGGAGGCCAAGGCUAAGGAACUGCCCAUGAACAGACAGAGGCGGAUGAGUUUCAGAGCUCACGCUUCAUAAGCCACGUGCCCUGUUGCUGUUAAUGCUACGUGAAGAAAGCCGAGCCAAAACGAAGUUCUGCUUGUGGACUGAGCCGUGAGGAACACGUCAUGAGGAACCGUACGGACACAGUUCUUAUUGUACCGAGAGCUGCAGAGCGGCUGGGAGAGGGAAAUAAUGACUUGAUAGUUUACGACUUGUUUACUUUCAUUGUAAAGUGAAGGUGACUAAAAUACACUAAAAAAGAAAACAUUUCUCAUCUGAGUAGGAAAAGACAGCGUUUUAAGAAACUUUAAUAAUAUUAUUAAUUAUAGCUGGACUACGAUGCAGAAUUAAGAAUUUGUGAUUCACAU